AUUGAACGCUGGCGGCAUGCCUUACACAUGCAAGUCGAACGGUAACAGGUCUUCGGACGCUGACGAGUGGCGAACGGGUGAGUAAUAUAUCGGAACGUGCCCAGUCGUGGGGGAUAACUACUCGAAAGAGUAGCUAAUACCGCAUACGAUCUGAGGAUGAAAGCGGGGGACCUUCGGGCCUCGCGCGAUUGGAGCGGCCGAUGGUAGAUUAGGUAGUUGGUGGGAUAAAAGCUUACCAAGCCGACGAUCUGUAGCUGGUCUGAGAGGACGACCAGCCACACUGGGACUGAGACACGGCCCAGACUCCUACGGGAGGCAGCAGUGGGGAAUUUUGGACAAUGGGCGAAAGCCUGAUCCAGCAAUGCCGCGUGCAGGAUGAAGGCCUUCGGGUUGUAAACUGCUUUUGUACGGAACGAAAAAGCUCCUUCUAAUACAGGGGGCCCAUGACGGUACCGUAAGAAUAAGCACCGGCUAACUACGUGCCAGCCGCCGCAGUAA
rnacentral:rRNA from 1 species